rnacentral:rRNA from 1 species
CUCGACGAUAGUCAAAACUGACCUAAACUCGAGGGAACUGGUUUUCUAGGGUCCUUGAAGAUACCUCCACCGUCGAUACCGCCUGAGAUGACGGUUCCAAGUUUUACGACUUUGUUGGUCUUGUAUGAACGUAUACGACUACAUCUUAACGUCAGUGACCAAACAUCAACCCGCGACAGUAGAAACUAUCACUGUGCCGGUAUCUGACGGAACCUCCCUUUCUCGAUCAACUCCUUAACUCCAUAACGUUUCAAAGGAGAGAAGGUUACGAACCUUUGGAAGAAACUGUGAACUUAGUGAGACGUUCUUAUUCGUUACAUAAGAAAGAAAACGGAACGAAGUACUACUACCAGAGACAAAGUAGAUUGGAUCCUUUACAUCAUCAACCGCCGAGACUUCAUCUUGACUGGAAAAGGAACUUUUCGCUAUCUCUGGACCCUUGAGGUCGUUCCUAAAUUCGUUACAUACCCGAGGAGGCGACUUCCGUUGAUGAGGGAAACGAGAACGUGUGAGAUCCGCAAACUGCGUCAUACCUUCACGUCCGUCACAGUGGUCGUUUCUUACUUUGUCCUCGUCGUCCUAUCGGUAGUAGUUAGGACCAAGAACCACUAUUGAACGAUCCGUUGUAUGUACCUACCCGUCAGUCCCUUUUGGUACGUCUCAGAUGGCCUAUGUAACAGUAGGGAGUUCCCCAAGUUGUUCAUGGAGUGUGGGCCAACCUAACUUAGUCACAGGGUGUAGGAGUUCCUCAACUGUGGUUGGUUUGGUGUAUUUCAUUACCUUCUCCUAUGAGUUUUACAUAAACUCACAGUACUGUGUCUUAAUCUGUAAUUUCAACGCUUCUAAGUUCUACUUUACCAAAGUGACCCACGGGUUGAUUUCGUCUUUUGUGACGUCUUCUCUCUCAGUGAUUUAUUGAUAAACCUGAACUUUCCUUCAUAUUCCCACAAGACAGCAUACUCCGGAAAGUUGGUACUUCUUUCAAUGUCGAGGUCUUGGUACAAGUGGGAACUACUCUCAUUACAAAAGAAUUUUCAACGACUUUGGUUCUGUUUCGUUAUGUUCAAGCUAUUCCAAAAGCUGGGUACGAGUUGUGUUCCACUACAUAAAAGACUUCAGCUUGGUUACUAUUUUAGUCGAUAUCUACCGAUGUUGCAAACGUAUAAACGGAUACCAGUCUGUCCAUCACCUUUUUGAAAAUGUUACCUUCCGUUCGGAUUUCUAAACCCACAGUAUGGUGCGCCCUAAGUUCAUGACAAACUAGCUCGAAGUCUCUCGUUGUCGUCUAAAGUCGAGUGAAAGUCGUACGAGCUCUAUAUAUACCCUUUGGAUGCUCUAGAUGAUCAAGGUCCUUCGUUCUGGUUACCCAAUUUCUUACAAGGCUCGGAGAGAUAAUUUUGCCUAGGACUACCACCGUAACUCUAACUUUUAGAUCACCGUCAAUGGCACUUAUUAAAAGUUCUUCACUUUUCUAAUAUACCAGACCCCUGGGCAGAAUCUAGUUGUCGAAGGUGAUACCGAUUAAGAUGUAGUUCAUCUAGAGUGACAAACUAAGCGUAAAGUAACUGGAGGAAACUACGUGGACUCUCCUUUUUUCGUUCUUUGUUUUAUACCUACUAACUAGAUCCACCUUCACUCUCUGAACAUUUCUGGUUUCGUUGACCAUUUUCCGACUUCCUUCCGUUUCGGUAUUUAAACAGUAACAGUCGGGAUCCCCUACACUAACUACGUGAUGUCUGGUUUUUUGGAGUACAUGGAAUGUCCUUAUCAUUCGAAUGUGUUCAGGACUCUCUAAGAGAUCCUACGCUCAGGUUUUGUAACUACGAACAGGUAUAAUCUGGUUUACUCUUACUAAACACGCUCUGGCAAACAUGGAACCCAAAACGUUGUUCUCACUCUUCAUAGGCAGAUCUUUCACUUCUUAGCGGUCUCCAUUUUUGUUCCUUCCUUCUAAAGAAUUUCCUCAAUCUUGUCUGCCAGUCAUUAAACCUUGUUCUUACACUGUUAUAAUCUUCUCUUUAAUUCUUCGAGCUCCUAUGCCACCUUGUAAACUCUCCCGGAGUUUGUAGACGAUCGUGUUUAAAACGUUGAAGUGUAGGUAGGUGAGUCCUUGACUUCUAACUGUACAGUUUCUUACAUUCUUCAGACUUCUUAGUGUCUCUUCAAGGCGCACCCAAUGGUUCCAAGUACUUCGGUUGACGACGAUCGGUCGUGUCCUAUCCAAAUUUGUUGUUACAAGGGUCAUAAUUGUCCUACUUUGGUGGUUACGGUGGUUUCUCUUCCGGAAGAAGGCAGAUACGUCUUAGACAUUCUAAAGGUCAUUUACGGCAAUGAACCGUCAGUCUUACGUCAAGACUCACGUCAUAGAGGUACUGUUCACUGUACUUAACCUGUGGCUCGUAUGAUCUACCCUGACUUACAUCGGUUCUACGUAGCCUCAUGCUCUAGUUUGUCCACUAAAAGAGUCUUGUACUCUUUGGUAGUGUCCCAGUUCAGUAAAGGAAGUUUCUUACCGUUGAAUGUCUUAGUCUCUUAUACGUCUUGUUUUGACUUCUUUCCUCAUAAUAUCUGUAACUAUUAACCUAGGUGGUUGUUUAUGAAGUUUCACGACCGUGUACAGUUUCGUUUUCCCAAGAUUGACAAGGGGUACAUUGACUUCUUCUUUGAAAGUUAUAAGGAAGUGGUUAAUUCUAACUUCCCUGAUUUCCAACAUUCGUUCGUGUCCUGCUUUUUUCACUUGAUUGGGAUGUUGGGGGUGGUGAGCUACGUUUCCUAUAUUUCGCUGGGUUCCGUCAAUUAGUAAAGCGGUGUCGUCUUAAUACGUCAGGAGGUAGUUCUCUUGUAACGUCGUGGUUGCUCUGUUUCUUUGUAUACUUACUUUUAGAACGUAUAGUCCCCUCUAGGUCUUCUAGAGAAGUUCUUUUGGACCUACCAACGUACGAUUUCGACGGUCUUAGACUUGAGUUAUGUAUAGGACUUUAGUCCGGGGUCCUUCUCCUUGUGUCGUAUCCUUUUGACUUUUUCAAGAAAGUUCGAGAGGUUUGUCGUACCCCGACACAAGCAGAUCCUAAUCCGUAACAGUUGGAACCUAAUCUCGUGCUCAAGAAAGUUUCGAACUAUGAAACUUCAUUGACAUUACAGCAGUAAAAUUCUCCAUCAUGAGUGAAAACUCUCAUGUGAUGAAGUCCUUUACAUGACGGCCAAACUGUAUCGCCGUCCACUUAACGACUAGACUACGACGUAACGACGUUGUCAACCAAACUACGGUCUACCUAACAAGAUCCUUAUAUCACCUUCAACAUUUUUUCACAUACUCACUUGUUUGAUACUUGCUCUUUAAACUGUAUAGGACUUUGUCGUUGACAAUUUCACA